rnacentral:lncRNA from 1 species
AAUAUAACUUAAUAUAUACUUUAAGAUCUGAAAAUAAAAACUGCAUCGAUCUAAUCGAUGCUGCAAUCUAGAUAUAAUCGUUAGAUCUAUCAGAAACAAUCAAAAUAGUUUAGAAACCAUUACCAAACUGUAGACUUCUAAUCUCUGCUGAUCCAACACUUAGAUAGAUGCUCCUUCAGGUUACUCAUAGUCACACGAAGAUGUUCGACCUCUAUAGAACAUCCA